CGGGGAAUUUUGGACAAUGGGCGCAAGCCUGAUCCAGCCAUGCCGCGUGCAGGAUGAAGGCCUUCGGGUUGUAAACUGCUUUUGUACGGAACGAAAAGACUCCUUCUAAUAAAGGGGGUCCAUGACGGUACCGUAAGAAUAAGCACCGGCUAACUACGUGCCAGCAGCCGCGGUAAUACGUAGGGUGCGAGCGUUAAUCGGAAUUACUGGGCGUAAAGCGUGCGCAGGCGGUUAUAUAAGACAGAUGUGAAAUCCCCGGGCUCAACCUGGGAACUGCAUUUGUGACUGUAUAGCUAGAGUACGGCAGGGGGGGAUGGAAUUCCACGUGUAGCAGUUAAAUGCGUAGAUAUGCGGAGGAACACCGAUGGCGAAGGCAAUCCCCUGGGCCUGUACUGACGCUCAUGCACGAAAGCGUGGGGAGCAAAAA
rnacentral:rRNA from 1 species